UAUCUCUUUAAAACCUUAUCUAUUCCUUGUUAAUAGGAGAUGGGUAACAAGAUCUAUCUCUAGCUUCCCCCUAUAAAUACCCCCUACACCCUUGCCUCUUUUCCCCGUCUCCCUCUCCCGUGCAUCUCCAGUCGCCUCUUCCGCCUCCGCUACAGCUAUGUCGCCCCUAUCCCAGCAGCUGCGCAGCAAGCCGCUAGCAGCCCUGCUGCAUCCUUGUUCGCAGCACGUCGCCGGCUGGUCUCUCUCCACCAA
rnacentral:lncRNA from 1 species